rnacentral:tRNA from 2 species
ACGCCCUGAGGCUCAACGGCGAGCCACCGGAUUCCAACCCCGGCGUCGACAGGUUCGAUCCCUGUAGGGCGUGCCA